GGCAUUAUGAUGAACACUAGGAGCAAGUCCAAGGUCGUCGUUUCCACUUCAAAAAAGCGGAAGACUCCAGCACGACAUCAUCAUCGAGUGCUUUCGUUGAUGCCCGUCACCCCUAUCUCUAAUUUCCACAAGGUCCCGAGGAGGAUUUAUAUCAGCAUCUUCGACUGAGGCCAUUCGGAUUAGGUCGUUGUAUUGAUUGGGCUGCUUUAGAUCAUAUACAGUUAGCAAAUCAUGUCAGCUCCAUCAUUGCUACACCUCCUUAAGACUGGUUUUUUUCCAUUAUCGAGCCCACAUACUCGGAGCUGACUUUAGAGUUUUGCUUGGCAUUUAUCGUACAGCAGGUGAUGACGACCAAUGACGAGCUGAGAACCAUUACCUUUAGACUCGGAGGUAUGGCACGACAUAUGAGUGUCCCAGAGUUCGGAGUUGCAUUGGGACUUUACACUGCAGAGAUUAUGAGUGCCGAGGGGUUCCUUCUAUUAUACUAGCACAUCCACUACUCGUCAUCUCUUUGCUGCGUAGAUCUUACGGUGAGCAUGACGUCUUAUGACCCGAGUCGGUCAAAGGAAACUUCUCUUCCUCUGGCCUUACGCUACAUUCAUACCAUCUUGGCUCAUACAAUGAUCGGUAGAAGGGAGAGCACUGGAGUCAUCGGUACAACCGAUGCAUUUUUUGUGGAGACUGGCCACGGGACGCACCUUUGAUCUCGCCUAUUUUAUCGCCGUCGUUGUUCGUCAUCAGACAGAGCGCAAUAGGAGGGGACCCAUAUAUUUUAAAAUCAAAAUACCCAUUAAUUAAUCACAAACCAAACCAUUACCACCCUUAGAAACUUUUAUAUUUCAAUUAU
rnacentral:lncRNA from 1 species